UCCGGUUUGUCACCGGCAGUCUCCCAUGAGUCCCCAACUGAAUGCUGGCAACAUGGGACGGGGGUUGCGCUCGUUGCGGGACUUAACCCAACAUCUCACGACACGAGCUGACGACAGCCAUGCACCACCUGUGAAGGUGUCCCGAAGGAAGGCCGUGUUUCCACGGCUGGCACCUACAUGUCAAACCCAGGUAAGGUUCUUCGCGUUGCGUCGAAUUAAACCACAUGCUCCGCUGCUUGUGCGGGCCCCCGUCAAUUCCUUUGAGUUUCAACCUUGCGGUCGUACUCCCCAGGCGGGGUACUUCCUGCGUUAGCGCCGGCACCCAGAGGGUCGCUCCCCCAGGCACCUAGUACCCAUCGUUUACGGCGUGGACUAC
rnacentral:misc_RNA from 1 species